CAGGAAGAAUCUAGCAAAACUUUACUUAGACUACAGAAGAGGAUGCAAAAGGGUUUUGUGGGUUUUUGGAGUUCUGGAGUUUAUGUGUGUUCUCGGGGAGAGCCGAUACCUAACAGUUGUGAAGAAAAAGCAUCCUUAAUGGUGCGAGGAAAUAAACCACCUAUUUUCCUUCCUGUUCCUGGGAAGCAGGGAAUUUAUGUGCUUGAGGC
rnacentral:lncRNA from 1 species